UGUGCUUCAAGGGACCUAUCAUGAAGGUCUCCGUAAUAAGGGUGAAGACAUAUGCAUACACCCUUGGAAGCUACGGAGGAGGUAAGGGAUGCGGGAAGGAGGGUAAAUGAACCUAGUAACAAGUUCAUCAUCCCAGGCAUGUAUCAAGGGACCUAUCAUGAAGCUCUCCAUAAUAAGGGUGAGGACAUAAAUUAUGCAUACACCAUUGGAUGCUAAGGAGGGGGUAAGGGAUGAGGGUAGGGAGAAGGUAGUGAGCUUCAGGGUUCACAAGUGUUUGUCGCGAAUGUGAUGGAGUGGUUAACAUCGGAGAGUUGUGAGGAGUUGGUAGGCUGCCUGGUGAUGCUAGUUACUAAAUGCAGUUGCUCAAUAUUGUUUUAAGUCUGAAUAUAUUUUAAGUUCUUGACCGUGUACCUUUAUUAGGCACGGCAUGCCCGCGGGUCCAAUACCAGUGAUUAGAUCAGUCGGUCACACCAGGUCCUGCUGGAGGCUUGCCUUUAUGUUGGGAAGGGUCACCAGACUCUUAAGGUUCAAUACCCGGCUGAUAUGCUAAGUCAAAGGAAGUGCACCCUAUGUUCUCAUUAUGUAACUUCCUGAGCCCGGGCAUCCUUCAAGGGGACCAACAUGAAGCUCUCCAUUAUAAGGGUAAAGGGAUAUAUAUUCAACCUGGCAGGGAUUUCUAAGGGCUAAGGGUAAGGAGUAAGGGAUGGAGAGAAGGAAGUGCAGCCCAUGUUCCUAUUAUAUAACUUCCUGAGACUGGGUGUGCUUCAAGGGGCCUAUCAUAAAUGAGUAAAGGGUAAAAGCAUGAAUAUUAACCACAGGGAGCACAUCUAAGGGCUAUGGGUAAGGGGCAAGGUAAGAAGGAAGUGCACCCAGCUAGGUUCCUAUUAUGUAACUUCCUGAGCCUGGGUGUGCUUCAAGGGGCCUAUCGUAAUGGUAUAUGGUAAAGGGUAAAUGCAUGAAUAUAUACCACAGGGGGGGAGGUCUAAGGGCUAAGGGCAGGGGGUGAAAGAAGCGCACCCAACUAGGUUCCUAUUGAGUAACUUCCUGAGCUUGGGCGUGCUUCAAGGGGCCUAUCAUAAAUGAGUAAAGGGUAAAAGCAUGAAUAUUUACCACAGGGGACAAGUCUAAGGGGUAAAGGGAGAGGGCAAGGGGAGAAGGAAGUGCACCCAGCUAGGUUCCUAUUAUAUAACUUCCUGAGCCUGGGUGUGCUUCAAGAGGCCUAUCGUAAUGGUAUAUGGUAGAGGGUAAAUGCAUGAAUAUAUACCGCAGGGGGGAGGUCUAAGGGGUAAGGGGAGAAGGAAGUGCACCCAGCUAGGUUCCUAUUAUGUAACUUCCUGAGCCUGGGUGAGCUUCAAGGGGCCUAUCGUAAUGGUAUAUGGUAAAGGGUAAAUGCAUGAAUAUAUACCGCAGGGGGGAGGUCUAAAGGCUAAGGGCAGGGGGCAUUAAUGGGUGUGAUACUAGAUGAAUCGCGCGCCAAACAUGUGCUGGGUGCGGGGUCGGCCACCAUCCCCUCAGCGACGGCCAGAAACGUUCCCUGCAUGUCAACAUAGUCGUCCACGUGGCCAAACAACCCCAAAAUGUGACCCAAAGGCAUGAUAUUGGUUAAGAUUUCCCUGCAUUUUCCCCUGGCCGGGUAUAACAAAGGGCCAGGGUGACGCCGGGAGGGUCGGCUCAUCAGCGACGACCCGGCCGGUGUUGUAGGAAUUAGCUCGCAGUCGCAAAAUAGCUCGCAGAGAGGGAUUUAGCUUGAAUGUUCCUGUUUUCACCCCUCGCUAUUUUUUACCUGUCCUGUUUCGUCUCCAUUACACGGCACAUGCAUCAGAGAAUCACUGUUAAUCAAGAGAAGGCUUAAUGGCAAACGAAUAAGGGUAGAUUUGAGAUGGAGUUACCCAACGUUGAC